AUUUAAUUCAAAUUGUCUUUUUAUUUAAUUUGUUAUCAUUUUUGUGGGUCAUAGAUGUCAUCAACUUUGAGUCUAAAGUGGAAAUCACUGUACUACUAUUCAUUGAGUGAAGAUUUCCUGAGACCACUGAUUAUGUCAUUGGGCCUCAGACGCGGACCAUUUUUGAAAACGAUCUUAUUAAUCUGACAUCAUAAUAAGCGAUUAAUCAAGUGGCAUUAACAAAGCUCUGACCAAUGGCCAACCCAGACACCUGAGCCCCGGACUCGAGGUCCACGAUCAGCAGCUGCUCCACCCGCAUAAACUGGCCUCAACUUAAAUAAACCCGAACUCGGGGCAGUCAGGAGCUCAAACAAAUUGAAUUCGCAUUGUUAGCAUAAUCGCCAGCCAUUUGUAAUCGCGAAUUCAGUGAAUGUGCUCACGUUUAUGUCACAGAAUCACAUGAGCAAUUCGGGCAGAAUUUUGACUUGUAAAAAUUCCCUGCCUGCACAAUUCUUGUGUUUUCUGUGUUGCCAUACUAUAUGUUAGCAUUCGGUUCGAGGUGUUUGCCGCAAUCACAACGCAUCCCUAGUUGACAUAAAUAGCUUCAGAUUUGAGCAGCUGCCAAUUUGGACUCACGGAUGCGAAUGUAAAUAUUCCAUUUCCAUGGUCGAAUCAGCGGCAUCGAGAGGACGCAUCCAUUCCCACAAGAUUUUCUGCCAAGUUUGAGUUCCUAGUUGGUUUUCGGUCUGCUGAAGUUAAUUAAAAUGGUUCCUACUUGGCCCUCAAAUAGAAAUUUCAUUAAGAUUCCACCUAGUCUCUCCAACAUAAAAACAUUUCUCUGAACGUGUACAUACUUUUUUCUAAAUCUAAUAUUCUAUGGGGUGUGAUAAUGAGUUGAAUGGCUUAUUACAAAGAUAUUUUCGAGAGCCGUUUUGCAAUUUCUACUAAAUCAUCCAUUCUGGGAGCAUGAAGACAUAAGUUUGUUAAUAAUAGCAAUUAAUAAUAUGUUAAAAUCUAAGGCGAUACAACAUGUAGUUUUAAACUUAACUGUUAUUUAUGAUUUGACAGAUUAUGUAAAUAGCAAUUGAUUAUUGAUAAGUAUUUCAGUUCUUAUAAACUCAAAUAGGAACCAAUUAAAAAAUUUCAUAAUGUUAAAUUGAAUAAUUGUAAAUAUGAUAAAUUAUAAAUUUAUUAAUUUAGAACAUUAAAUAUUCCCCUCAAGUAAUUGAUUAUUUAUUUAUAUUGGCAUUUCACAUUGGAAUUCGUCAACU